rnacentral:rRNA from 1 species
AGAGUUUGAUCCUGGCUCAGCCUGAACGCUGGCGGCGUGGCUAAGACAUGCAAGUCGAACGGAUGUAGCAAUACAUCAGUGGCGGACGGGUGAGUAAUGAAUCGCUAAUGUACCCCGGAGCCAGGGAUAGCUGCCCGAAAGGGCAGGUAAUACCUGAUGAGACCACAGUCAGGCAUCUGACGGUGCUCAAAGCAGCAAUGCACUCUGGGAGCAGGCGAUUUCGUAUCAGCUAGUUGGUGAGGUAACGGCUCACCAAGGCGACGACGCGUAGCUGGUCUGAGAGGACGGCCAGCCACAUUGGGACUGAGACACUGCCCAGACUCCUACGGGGGGCUGCAGUAACGAAUCUUCCGCAAUGCACGAAAGUGUGACGGAGCGACGCCGCGUGUAGGAUGAAGUCCUUCGGGAUGUAAACUACUGUCAGGGGAAAGAAAGUUCUGAUCUACCCCAGAGGAAGAGACGGCUAACUCUGUGCCAGCAGCCGCGGUAAUACAGAGGUCUCGAGCGUUAGGCGGAAUCACUGGGCUUAAAGCGUGUGUAGGUGGAUCGUUAAGUACCUUGUGAAAUCCCACGGCUUAACCGUGGAACUGCUUGGUAUACUGGCGGUCUUGAGCCAGCUAGGGGCUACCGGAACAAAUGGUGGAGCGGUGAAAUGCGUAGAUAUCAUUUGGAACGCCAAUGGUGAAAACAGGUAGCUGGGGCUGUGCUGACACUGAGACACGAAAGCCAGGGGAGCAAACGGGAUUAGAUACCCCAGUAGUCC